rnacentral:rRNA from 1 species
UACGGGGGGAGCAAGCGUUAUCCGGAUUCACUGGGUUUAAAGGGUGCGUAGGUGGGCUGGUAAGUCAGUGGUGAAAUCUCCAGGCUUAACUUGGAAACUGCCAUUGAUACUAUCAGUCUUGAAUACCGUGGAGGUCAGCGGAAUAUGUCAUGUAGCGGUGAAAUGCUUAGAUAUGACAUAGAACACCAAUUGCGAAGGCAGCUGGCUACACGAAUAUUGACACUGAUGCACGAAAGCGUGGGGAUCAAACAGGA